UCGGGGCGGGCCAAUGACUUCAAGAGCACGGUCAGUAUUUCUUAUCACAGUAUUAAAUGGUUGAGGAAAAUAUAAUAUGUAUAAUGACUUGUGACUAAUAAUAGACGACGGUGUCACACGGAAGCUGCGCAAUGGACAAUCAUGAAGACCUCGUGCAAACUACAGCAAUCAUCAGACGAACAAAGCGACAUUGACACGGCUAUUUGCAUGAGUAGGCCUGCUUUGUAGAUGGGCAUAGAUGAUCGAUUUCAUUUCUGCAAUCUAAAAGACGUGUAGAAGGCGUCAACGUCUUCAUGUGCAAGUAGUCCAUUUUCAUCUCUGUCCGAGUGCAGCCUCACAUUCUGUGUGGAUGGUGAUCCGGACUUCAUUAAUGUCGACGAAAGUGCAGCUUUUCGGAGAUGUAGAUGAGGACAAGAAAUGACAGGACAAUUGGUGGCGGUGAUACUAUAGGCGUCUCCAAAAUACAGUGGCCACGUUUUAGAAGAGAGGCUACAGCUCACAGUGGCGAAGUCAGAGUCGCGUCAGAAUGACCUCAUCACAGCUUUUACCGCGAAUUUUAGGACAGGAUUUUACAGAUUGUCUUGGUUUGUACAUAUACUUUUCCCCAAAAGUGCGUGAUUUUCGAAAGGAACAGAUGAUUAUAGAAAUACAAAGAGGUACCGAGUGGAAGUUAUGAAUUGAUAAAAUCAUGUCAUUGAAGCAGACAGAAAGUAGUUCCGAUAAUAGUGUUAUUCAUACGAGUUUAACAACACUAUAUUUCAUUCGAAAGAGAUAAAUGUGUUAUUUUUGUAAGGUAAAUACAGUGUUUCAUCACAAAAUAAAUAAUAAAAAUGAAAAUUGUAUCAGUGAGACGACAUGAAUUAUGUGAGGUUGAUUGGUUGUAAAGGCUAAAUGGACAGAAUAGUUUAUAAUGUAGUAAAAACAUUAAAUACACCCUGACAUGAUUUUAGUAGAAAGCUAUUUGUAUUUUUAUAUAUCAAGUUAUAUAGAUUAUGUCAAGCGUCAUUGGUACAUGACGACCGCCUCCGUGGUCUAAUGGUAGAGCGUCCGCCCGGAGAGCGGAAGGUCCGGGGUUCGAUCCCCGACCGC